GUCAAAUGAAUUAAGGGCUUACGGUGGAUACCUAGGCACCCAGAGACGAAGAAGGGCGUACUAACCGACGAAACGCUUCGGGGAGCUGAAAAGAAGCAUUGAUCCGGAGAUUCCCGAAUAGGGCAACCUCUUGAACUUCCUGCUGAAUUCAUAGGCAGGAUAGAGACAACCUGGCGAACUGAAACAUCUUAGUAGCCAGAGGAAAAGAAAGCAAAAGCGAUUCCCUUAGUAGCGGCGAGCGAACUGGGAACAGUCUAAACCGGUAGGUAACCUACCGGGGUUGUGGGACAGCAAAAUCAAACCAAGAUUUGCUAGGCGAAGCAAUUGAAUGUUGCACCAUAGAUGGUGAAAGUCCAGUAACCAAAAGCAUCUCUUGGCUUGUGCUGAAUCCCGAGUAGCAUGGGGCACGUGAAAUCCCGUGUGAAUCAGCGAGGACCACCUCGUAAGACUAAAUACUCCUGGGUGACCGAUAGCGAAACAGUACCGUGAGGGAAAGGUGAAAAGAACCCCCAUCGGGGAGUGAAAGAGACCAUGAAACCGUGAGCUUACAAGCAGUGGGAGGCAGAUGGCUGACCGCGUGCCUAUUGAAGAAUGAGCCGGCGACUUAUAGGCAGUGGCUUGGUUAAGGCCAUUAAGGCUGGAGCCAUAGCGAAAGCGAGUCUGAAUAGGGCGAUGUCACUGUUUAUGGACCCGAACCCGGGUGAUCUAACCAUGGCCAGGAUGAAGCUUUGGUGAAACUCAGUGGAAGUCCGAACCGACCGAUGUUGAAAAAUCGGCGGAUGAGUUGUGGUUAGGGGUGAAAUACCAAUCGAACUCGGAGCUAGCUGGUUCUCCCCGAAAUGCGUUUAGGCGCAGCGGUUGAACAUAAAUAAAAACGAAUAAACACGUCAAAAAAAAGGGCUGUCUAGGGGUAAAGCACUGUUUCGGUGCGGGCUGCGAGAGCGGUACCAAAUCGAUGCAAACUCUGAAUACUAGAACAACCUUAAGUCAACCAGUGAGACGGUGGGGGAUAAGCUCCAUCGUCAAGAGGGAAACAGCCCAGAUCACCAGCUAAGGCCCCUAAAUGGCCGCUAAGUGGCAAAGGAGGUGAGAGUGCAAAGACAACCAGGAGGUUUGCCUAGAAGCAGCCACCCUUGAAAGAGUGCGUAAUAGCUCACUGGUCAAGCGCUCUUGCGCCGAAAAUGAACGGGACUAAGCGGCCUGCCGAAGCUGUGAGAUGCAGCCAAGCUGCAUCGGUAGGGGAGCGUUCCGCUAUAGGGUGAAGCAUCAACGUGAGUUGGUGUGGACGAAGCGGAAGUGAGAAUGUCGGCUUGAGUAACGCAAACAUUGGUGAGAAUCCAAUGCCCCGAAAACCUAAGGGUUCCUCCGCAAGGCUCGUCCACGGAGGGUGAGUCAGGGCCUAAGGAAAGGCCGAAAGGCGUAUUCGAUGGACAACAGGUUAAUAUUCCUGUACUGCCAACUUGUUGGUACCGAGGGACGGAGAAGGCUAGGUUAGCCGGACGAUGGUUACCGGUUUAAACGAUCGAGGCUGUGAGAGGUAGAGAAAAUACCUUGAGCUAAGACGUGAAUACGAGGCACCAAAAGGUGCUGAAGUAACUGAUGUCAAGCUUCCAAGAAAAGCUCGAACUACCAUAAACAAGUGGCACCUGUACCCGAAACCGACACAGGUAGGUAGGUAGAGUAUACCUAGGGGCGCGAGAUAACUCUCUCUAAGGAACUCGGCAAAAUGGCCCCGUAACUUCGGGAGAAGGGGUACCCCGUAAGGGGUCGCAGUGACCAGGCCCAGGCGACUGUUUACCAAAAACACAGGUCUCCGCUAAGUCGUAAGACAACAUAUGGGGGCUGACGCCUGCCCAGUGCCGGAAGGUUAAGGAAGUCGGUUACCCGUAAGGGGAAGCUGGCGACCGAAGCCCCGGUGAACGGCGGCCGUAACUAUAACGGUCCUAAGGUAGCGAAAUUCCUUGUCGGGUAAGUUCCGACCCGCACGAAAGGCGUAACGAUCUGGGCACUGUCUCGGAGAGAGACUCGGUGAAAUAGACAUGUCUGUGAAGAUGCGGACUACCUGCACCUGGACAGAAAGACCCUAUGAAGCUUUACUGUACCCUGGAAUUGGGUUUGGGCUCUUCUUGCGCAGCUUAGGUGGAAGGCUAAGAAGGUAUUCUUCCGGGAAUACUGGAGCCAACAGUGAGAUACCACUCUGGAAGAGCUAGGAUCCUAAUCAACAGCCUCAGAACAGGCGUUGAAACAGUUUCAGGUGGGCAGUUUGACUGGGGCGGUCACCUCCUAAAAGGUAACGGAGGUGUGCAAAGGUUCCCUCAGGCUGGACGGAAAUCAGCCGUAGAGUGUAAAGGCAGAAGGGAGCUUGACUGCAAGACCUACAAGUCGAGCAGGGACGAAAGUCGGCCUUAGUGAUCCGACGGUGCCGAGUGGAAGGGCCGUCGCUCAACGGAUAAAAGUUACUCUAGGGAUAACAGGCUGAUCUCCCCCAAGAGUUCACAUCGACGGGGAGGUUUGGCACCUCGAUGUCGGCUCAUCGCAACCUGGGGCGGAAGUACGUCCCAAGGGUUGGGCUGUUCGCCCAUUAAAGCGGUACGUGAGCUGGGUUCAGAACGUCGUGAGACAGUUCGGUCCAUAUCCGGUGCAGGCAUUAGAGCAUUGAGAGGAUCUUUCCCUAGUACGAGAGGACCGGGAAGGACGCACCGCUGGUGUACCAGUUAUCGUGCCAACGGUAAACGCUGGGUAGCCAAGUGCGGAGAGGAUAACUGCUGAAAGCAUCUAAGUAGGAAGCCCACCUCAAGAUGAGUGCUCUCUUCGGUUAACCACCGCAACCGUUGAAAAACCUUUUGGUUUUUGGUUGUGGCUGUAGCGAGCCGAUUAAGGUCACGGCAAGACGAGCCGUUCAUAGGUGUCAAGUGGAAGUACAGCAAUGUAUGCAGCUGAGACAUCCUAACAGACCGAGGAAUUAGACU
rnacentral:rRNA from 1 species